rnacentral:rRNA from 1 species
GCCGCGAGGUAGAGCAAAUCUCAAAAAAACAAUCUCAGUUCAGACUGCAGGCUGCAACUCGCCUGCACGAAGUUGGAAUUGCUAGUAAUCGUAGGUCAGCAUACUACGGUGAAUACGUUCCCGGGCCUUGUACACACCGCCCGUCAAACCAUGAGAGUUGGCAACACCCGAAGUCGGUAGUCUAACCGCAAGGAGGACGCCGCCGAAGGUGGGGUUGAUGAUUAGGGUUAAGUCGUAACAAGGUAUC